UACAAGAUAAAUCCUAUGAUCCUAUUUCUAUAAUGAAUCCAACACAUCAAUAAUAGAUAUCACAUCUUGAAUCUGCAUCUUUCAUAAGAAUGUUCUGGAAGAUAUCCCAAUUCUUACCAAUGUUGGUUGCUUCAUCCUGAGCAUCCUCUUUAGAAGCACCAUUUGAUAUAUUACCACUACUGUUGUUUCUCUUCUUACCAUCUUGUUUCUUCUUAUUGAGAGACGUUGAGUUAUGGUGCCUCUCCCAUGAUCCAACUACUUCUUCUACCUGCUUCUGAGGUAACCUGCAUUAGUGGAUCCAUCCUCAUCAGAUUAACUAUCCCUGGUGUUGCUGUGAUUACUUUGUUCAUUUCUAUUCGAGGAUAUAUAGUUUAUGUUGCGGAUAACAACUUUUCUUGAUGAACUUCUCCCACGGUGCAUUUUUCUAUCCUCCUCAUAGUCAUCAGAAACAUUAUUAUAGCUUGAAGUGUUGGUUUCCUGUCUAUCCCCGUUUGAGUCUUUCUUCUUGUUUUUGAAAGGUGGUUUAUUCUUCCAACUAUAAUCUGAUUCAGAACUGGGACCUCGACUAGAAUCUUUUGGAUUUGUAGGCCAUGGCAUUUGGAUAGUAGGCAGGAUUAGCCUGCAUGCCAAAAAACAUGUAUCCUGGAUAUGGUGAAAUUUGUUGAAAUACUGGAUUUUGAUAAUUUUCUUUGUAAGCUAGCAGAUUGUUCAGCCAUAUUAGUUGUGAUUUUCCAUCUAUAGAGUGGAUUUUGCUAGGUGGUCAUAAACCAUUUUCUGUAGAUUCCACAUACAAAAGCAGCAGAGCUUAGCAACAACAGUGACAACAUACUCGAUAUAAUUCCACAAGUGGGGUCUAAAAAGAAUAGAGUGUAUGCAAACCUUACCCCUACCUUGAUAGGUAGAGAGACUAUCUCUAGUAGACCCUCAUCUUCAGGAAAGAAAAAAAGCAAAGCAAUAGAGUUUAGCCAUCACAGAAAUGAAUAUGAAUAAUGUGCAAAGACCCUACGUUAAAGAAAAUGAUUACACGAAGAGAAUAAUGAAGAAAUAUUAUAUUCAUGGUUAACACGAUUGAAAGAUGUCAUCAUGGAAGCUAGUUAUUAUAAAGUUUCAAGUGGAAAUAAACAAGAGAACGAUACAUGUAUGGAGAAUAUCAUUAUGUGUACCUUGAUUAGUAUCUAAACAUCCAUGACUUGUGGCAUCAUUAUUCUGUCUUCUAAUAUAUUGAGUAAUAUUACUAUGUUCAGCAGCAAGCGUAAUCCCAGAUAUCUCAAAAUAUGAAAACUCAGAAGGUGAGUAGGCUUGAAGGGCUUCCACUUCAUCUAUCCAGAUUCCAUCAUCUCUCUUUUUGUUGUACAACUCCAUAAAUUUAAUGCUUGCUUCUCUGUAUAGAGGCAAAUUAUAUUUCAAUAGGAAUUCGCGAUAGUUCAUCUAUCAUCUUAAUUAGUCCGGUAAACAGAGAGAUUUAUACGUUGCAGCAGAACGAAUAUCUAACUGGCUAGCAAUCUACCUUAUUGCUCCAGUUCUUAAUACAAUUUGUUCUAAUAUGCCUUAAUGAACUACAAAGGACUACGCAAAUUAGGUUUCUUACUCUCUAGCUAGAUGCCACAAAUGGAUGCAUUCAAUGGAGAGCACUAUAUAUGGACUAAAUUAGCUCUAUUUCUGGGGAAUUCCACUCUAGUUUCUUACCUUAGGAUUUAGAUUGUAAGUUGUUUUAAGUUGAAUGAAUUUGAUUGAAUGGGAUUCUUGUCAGGUUAAAGUUUUAUCUGUUUCAACUUUGAUGAAUUUGUUGUUCAGCUUCCUGUGAGUCUUGAGCUUUGGACAUUGUAAGUUUGCUGAGUAUCAAUAUUGAAUACUGAUUAGCAAAAGGCAAAAGAAAGUUUUUGCUUAUGAGAUGGAUGAACUAACAGACAAUGUAGGGUUAAGCUUUACAUAACAGUACUAAUUGUCAAAGGAAAAAAGGUUAAAAUUUUACAUAAAUAAUAUUUUACAAUCAAUUAAUUUAAUAAUCGUUCAUAUUGUUUUGCUACAACAGCAAAUUAUUAUCUUCAUUUAUCUUGUCAUUACAGAGAAAGUGUUUUUGGCGUCCAGAACAUGAACAUUAACGUCAGAUUACUACAAACUUCAGGUUAAAAGUUGCACGCAUACUUGUUGGCUUGUUAUCAAAAGCUCGUGCAAAUAACAAGAGGCCUAGGUGGAUUCUUCCUGAAAAUUAACAAAAGUUAAUUGACCAUUGGGCGACCGAUUUGAGGUUUAAUGAGCGGGAUUAGCAAGAAAGCUAGAGAUGUCACUGAGAAGUCCAGUAGUGACGAAAAUAAUGAGGAUUAUUAUAUGGACAAUGCAUCCGCAUUGUUAAAGUGGAGUGUUGUGUGAGAUAAUCUAAAUUAUGUACUUUAUGGUAGUUUAUUUGAAUUAUUAAGUGUUUUUGAAUGCAUGAAAACUUUGAAGUAGUCUAAUCAAUAGUAUUGUAUAAAUAACUUGACUUCCAUAUUUUUUUCAUUCAAUUUCAAGGUACUUUAAAGUUGAUUUUACUUUACUAUUCAUUGGAUGAUGUUUA
rnacentral:lncRNA from 1 species